rnacentral:rRNA from 1 species
ACGGAAGGCAGCAGUGGGGAAUAUUGCGCAAUGGGGGCAACCCUGACGCAGCAACGCCGCGUGAGUGAUGAAGGUUUUCGGAUCGUAAAGCUCUGUUCUGGGGGAAGAAAUUUGACGGUACCCCAGCAGGAAGCUCCGGCUAAAUACGUGCCAGCAGCCGCGGUAAUACGUAUGGAGCGAGCGUUGUCCGGAUUUACUGGGCGUAAAGGGCACGCAGGCGGUCAACUAAGCCAGGUGUGAAAGUUUUCGGCUCAACCGGAAAAGUGCACUUGGAACUGGAUGACUUGAGUCUCGGAGAGGUAAGCGGAAUUCCUAGUGUAGCGGUGAAAUGCGUAGAGAUUAGGAAGAACACCGGUGGCGAAGGCGGCUUACUGGACGAGUACUGACGCUCAGGUGCGAAAGCGUGGGGAGCAAACAGGAUUAGAUACCCUGGUA